CCAGACUCCUACGGGAGGCAGCAGUGGGGAAUAUUGCACAAUGGGGGAAACCCUGAUGCAGCAACGCCGCGUGAGUGAAGAAGUAUUUCGGUAUGUAAAGCUCUAUCAGCAGGGAAGAUAAUGACGGUACCUGACUAAGAAGCUCCGGCUAAAUACGUGC
rnacentral:rRNA from 1 species